UACGGAGGGUGCGAUCGUUAUUCGGAAUUACUGGGCGUAAAGAGUACGUAGGCGGUUUGAUAAGUCAGGUGUGAAAUGCUUGGGCUUAACCUGAGAAUUGCAUUUGAUACUGUUAAUCUAGAGUUUAGGUGAGGAAGGCGGAAUUUCGGGUGUAGCGGUGAAAUGCGUAGAUAUCCCGAGGAACAUCAGUGGCGAAGGCGGGAUUCUGGGCUAAGACUGACACUGAGGUGCGAAAGCGUGGGGAGCGAACAGG
rnacentral:rRNA from 1 species